rnacentral:tRNA from 1 species
GGGCAUAUAGCUUAGCGGUAGAGUACAUGCUUAGCAUGCACAAGGUCCUGGGCUCAAUCCCCAGUACUUCCU